UACGGAGGGUGCAAGCGUUGUCCGGAUUUAUUGGGUUUAAAGGGUGCGUAGGCGGCCCUGUAAGUUCAGUGGUGAAAUAACUGCAGCUUAACUGUAGCAUUGCCAUUUGAUACUGUAGGGCUUGAGUUACAGGAUGAGGUAAGGCGGAAUUGAUGGUGUAGCGGUGAAAAUGCAUAGAUACAUAAGAACACCGAUUACGAAGGCAGCUUACUAGCUGUAACUGACGCUGAGGCACGAAAAGCGUGGGGGAUCGAACAGG
rnacentral:rRNA from 1 species